GACGAACGCUGGCGGCGUGCUUAACACAUGCAAGUCGAACGGAAAGGCCCUGCUUUUGUGGGGUGCUCGAGUGGCGAACGGGUGAGUAACACGUGAGUAACCUGCCCUUGACUUUGGGAUAACUUCAGGAAACUGGGGCUAAUACCGGAUAGGAGCUCCUGCUGCAUGGUGGGGGUUGGAAAGUUUCGGCGGUUGGGGAUGGACUCGCGGCUUAUCAGCUUGUUGGUGGGGUAGUGGCUUACCAAGGCUUUGACGGGUAGCCGGCCUGAGAGGGUGACCGGCCACAUUGGGACUGAGAUACGGCCCGGACUCCUACGGGAGGCAGCAGUGGGGAAUAUUGCACAGUGGGCGGGAGCCUGAUGCAGCAACGCCGCGUGCGGGAUGACGGCCUUCGGGUUGUAAACCGCUUUCGCCUGUGACGAAGCGUGAGUGACGGUAAUGGGUAAAGAAGCACCGGCUAACUACGUG
rnacentral:rRNA from 1 species